ensembl:lncRNA
CUCACCGUGAUGUCAGCCUGCAAUGGUGUGCAGUGAGACGGACCGGAGGAGGGAGGAGAGGCGCACACCCACUUCCUUGGUCUGGAUCUCUGCUAACCUGGAGGCGAACCCUGUCCUCUUGCCGAAGGACUGAUCAUGGUGAAGCCCCGUCAACAGCCUCCUCAAUCCCAAACCAGCUCAGACAUGGCGUUUCUGAUCCCGCCACCUAUCGAAGAGGUUAUGAUAGGGAUGGGACAGUUUCUGAGUUUGGAAGGAGCGAGUCGGGCCAGUUGGAUUUGAAGGUGUGUGGUCCAUGCACUCAGACUGGAUUCCAAACAGUGUGAGCAUUUGGGGAGAGUGACAGGAACUUGUCUUUACUUGUUGGUCACUUAUUCCCUGGCUCUGAGCACAUGGGUGGGUGGAAGGGAGGCCGAAGGACUGACCACAGGCGCCCCUGUGAGGACAUAGCUCAGUGGACUUUCCAAGCAUCUACUCGAGGCCAAGGGCCUCUCCAGGGCUGCAGAGCGUGGCCAGCAUCUUGUAUCAAGAAGACAUUCCACAUCCUCCUGUCCACUUAAAAUAUGCGUGCAGUGGGCAGGAACCCAUGGCAGGCCAUUAAGAGUCUCAAGGAAGUCCCAUGCCAUACUAAUGCUCAUAUGGCCAGAUAGACUUGGGUAUCCCCACCUGAGGAGCAGAGAGAGGGCUGGGGAGAUGGGAUCGAAGGACCAACCCACAGAAAAUAGAGGAGAGGAUGGAAGGGAUGAGACCCAAAUUUGCAGGGGCGUCUGGUCCUAGGGAGCUUCCUGCACUUGGACAUUGAGGCCCUUUCUGGUUAUGAAGUGGAAUAACAAGGAUCAAAUGCUUUCAGGAGACUCCUUCUCUAUGGAGCAUUGCUAUAUUUUUUUUAGAAAAAUUGUCUUUGAUGAACUUCUUUAAGGUACAAGCUGAAGAUCAGACCUGGCUGCCCCUAACCCCAGAGGCCUGGAGAGGAGUGGCUGGUUCUUGCCAGAGACAUGGAAGCAGAAAGAUGAGAGAGAAGCAAGGACGUGGUCCUGGGGCAUCUCCUUGAUGUGCUUAUUUCUGGGCCAUUAAUUAACUUCACAAAGUGUUUGCAGAAAGUGAAAGGUGUGCACGCGUGUACACAUUCUCGGGACUUACCUGGUGCAGGGUCUGGACUGGAUGGAGGGAAACACGAGGUAAAUCUGAAGAGGAAGAACCACCGAGGACUAUAGAAAUUUUUCAGGGGAAAGAAAAGGUGGCAGAGAGCGUGGAGCUCCCAGCCGGUGAAAUUGAGGUUUGAGUCCCUAACUUCCAAGUCGACCAGCAUGCAGUGCCAAGGGACAGCCAGGAGGUGGCGCUGCAGCGCUUCAUUUAUCCAGGUUCCUCCGAGGUGGACACACCGUUUAAAGAGGUCUCCUUUCAAGACGAUAUAAAUAUCCACCUUCUCCUGAGGAGUUCUCCAGUCACUUUCUCUCUGAGAUCUUCAGGCAAGAGGUUUGUUCUUAACCCUGACAAUGACUUCUCCCCAUAGACCCCCUUCUUCCUUAAGAGACUGAGAGGGACCCCAAAGACACAGCCACUCAGCGGGAUCUCACCCCUGGUCUGCCAGUCGUCUGGGGUCUGCCAGUCGUCACGUAACACCCCCAUCCUCAGUGUGCCCUCGCCCCCAGGACGUGAGGAUAAGAGCAAAAUGCAGCAGGCUUUGCUGUCUCCCUUCGAAAGGGUUUUCAACCACAUUUAACCCUUUGAAGUAGGCUUUGCCAGCCCAUCUUCUCUGCCCCUUAAUGCCUCGGACACCCGAUGCUCUGUCUCUGAACUUCAGGUUCCACCUCUGUUCUCCAUCAAGUGUGAACAAGAGUACAAACUCCCUAAAGGUCCCAUUCAUUGACAUAAACAUGUAAAUGUUAACCGGGUUUAGUUAUUGCACUGAUCAGCCUUGUGUCUUGGGAUCUCGCCUGAUUACUCACCCGCCUGGACGACAAGGAGAUCUAUUUAAAACUUUAAUGAAGGGACCUAAGAUUUUUCAUUCUACUGCUAGAACCUACUCCUAAUAUGGCGUCAGAAACAUUGGCUCACCUGUCUUAAGGAUGAGAUGUUUGAGUCGUGACACAAGCUCUUUGUUUCACAAGUAAAAAGACCUCCUUGCGUAGCCAGGAGAGUGAUUCCAGGUCUCCCUCGUUCACUCUGAACGGCUCCGUCGAGUCUGGGUGCAGAUGCAGUGUGUUGGCUUAUUGCCAGCUGGACAUUAGCAGGAGAAAGUCAGAGGACCCCACGUUCCGCUGCUGCAUUGAAACCAUUGACCCACUGUGUCUGGGGCCUCACUUCAUGACUUUGGCCACCAUUUCUUCACUUGAAAUCAAGACUACCCCUUCAUAAAACACCUCUGAAGGCUGUUGAGAAGACCAAACAGAGAUGGGGGAUUGUGAGAAUACUUCUAAAACUACAGCGAGCUCUGUAGCUGGAGCUGCUAAUAGUGGGUCAUUUAAUGUUCAGCCUGUUGAGAACCUUUGUAUCCUGGUCGUGUGCCAGGGCGCCUGGCAGGAAGCAGCCUGUGAUGGAGCCUUAGGAACGGACAAGGCGUGUUUUCCUCCCUCAACCCACUGCUGUGGAGCCCCUUGAACUUGAAAAAUUUGAAGACCAU